GAUGAACGCUAGCGGCAGGCUUAACACAUGCAAGUCGAGGGGUAUAGUUCUUCGGAACUAGAGACCGGCGCACGGGUGCGUAACGCGUAUGCAAUCUACCUUUUACAGGGGGAUAGCCCAGAGAAAUUUGGAUUAAUACCCCAUAGUAUGUUAGAGUGGCAUCAUUUUAACAUUAAAGUUCCAACGGUAAAAGAUGAGCAUGCGUCCCAUUAGCUAGAUGGUAAGGUAACGGCUUACCAUGGCGACGAUGGGUAGGGGUCCUGAGAGGGAGAUCCCCCACACUGGUACUGAGACACGGACCAGACUCCUACGGGAGGCAGCAGUGAGGAAUAUUGGACAAUGGGCGCAAGCCUGAUCCAGCCAUGCCGCGUGCAGGAAGACGGUCCUAUGGAUUGUAAACUGCUUUUGUACAGGAAGAAACACUCCCUCGUGAGGGAGCUUGACGGUACUGUAAGAAUAAGGAUCGGCUAACUCCGUGCCAGCAGCCGCCGCAGUAA
rnacentral:rRNA from 1 species